GAAGUCGGCUGAGCAGUCGCUGUUUUAUCGGAAGAUAAGAUGGAGGAAAGUCCGGGCUCCACUGGGCAGGGUGCCAGGUAACGCCUGGGGGGCGUGAGCCUACGGAAAGUGCCACAGAAAAUAUACCGCCGCGCCGCUUGCAAAAGCUGCGGUAAGGGUGAAAUGGUGCGGUAAGAGCGCACCGCGCAACUGGUAACAGGGGCGGCACGGCAAACCCCACCCGGAGCAAGAUCAAAUAGAGGGACAGACGCGUGGCCCGCGCGGUUCCUGGGUAGAUUGCUUGAGCGUUAAGGUGACUUAACGCCUAGAUGAAUGACUGUUCUCGACAGAACCCGGCUUACAGGCCGACUUUUUCU
rnacentral:RNase_P_RNA from 1 species